GGAAGAAAGCUUGCUUUCUUUGCUGGCGACCGGCGCACGGGUGAGUAACACGUAUCCAACCUGCCCUUUACUCGGGGAUAGCCUUUCGAAAGAAAGAUUAAUACCCGAUAGCAUAAUGAUUCCGCAUGGUUUCAUUAUUAAAGGAUUCCGGUAAAGGAUGGGGAUGCGUUCCAUUAGGUUGUUGGUGAGGUAACGGCCCACCAAGCCUUCGAUGGAUAGGGGUUCUGAGAGGAAGGUCCCCCACAUUGGAACUGAGACACGGUCCAAACUCCUACGGGAGGCAGCAGUGAGGAAUAUUGGUCAAUGGGCGUUAGCCUGAACCAGCCAAGUAGCGUGAAGGAUGAAGGCUCUAUGGGUCGUAAACUUCUUUUAUAUAAGAAUAAAGUGCAGUAUGUAUACUGUUUUGUAUGUAUUAUAUGAAUAAGGAUCGGCUAACUCCGUGCCAGCAGCCGCGGUAAUACGGAGGAUCCGAGCGUUAUCCGGAUUUAUUGGGUUUAAAGGGAGCGUAGGUGGACUGGUAAGUCAGUUGUGAAAGUUUGCGGCUCAACCGUAAAAUUGCAGUUGAUACUGUCAGUCUUGAGUACAGUAGAGGUGGGCGGAAUUCGUGGUGUAGCGGUGAAAUGCUUAGAUAUCACGAAGAACUCCGAUUGCGAAGGCAGCUCACUGGACUUGCACUGACACUGAUGCU
rnacentral:rRNA from 1 species